rnacentral:rRNA from 1 species
GACGAACGCUGGCGGCGUGCCUAAUACAUGCAAGUUGAGCGCUGAAGGUUGGUUCUUGUACCAACUGGAUGAGCAGCGCACGGGUGAGUAACGCGUGGGGAAUCUGCCUUUGAGCGGGGGACAACAUUUGGCACCGAAUGCUAAUACCGCAUAAAAACUUUAAACACAAGUUUUAAGUUUGAAAGAUGCAAUUGCAUCACUCAAAGAUGAUCCCGCGUUUUAUUAGCUAGUUGGUGAGGUAAAGGCUCACCAAGGCGAUGAUACAUAGCCGACCUGAGAGGAUGAUCGGCCACAGUGGGACGAGGACACGGCCCAAACUUCUACGGGAGGCAGCAGUAGGGAACCUUCGGCAAUGGACGAAAGUCUGACCGAGCAACGCCGCGUGAGUGAAGAAGGUUAUCGGAUCGUAAAAGUCGGUUGGUAGAGAAGAGCGUUGGUGAGAGUGGAAAGCUCAUCAAGUGACGGUAACUACACAGAAAGGGACGGCUAACUACGUG